rnacentral:rRNA from 1 species
AACGUAGGAGACAAACGUUAUCCGGAGUUACUGGGCGUAAAGGGCGUGUAGGUGGUAGUGUAAGUCUGGCGUGAAAUUUUUCGGCUUAACCGGGAAAGGUCGUCGGAUACUGCACAACUAGAGGACGGUAGAGGCGUGUGGAAUUCCGGGUGUAGUGGUGAAAUGCGUAGAUAUCGGGAGGAACACCAGUGGCGAAGGCGGCUUUCUGGUCUGCUCUUGACGCUGAGGCGCGAAAGCUAGGGUAGCAAACAGG